CCUACGGGAGGCAGCAGUGGGGGAUAUUGCACAAUGGGGGGAACCCUGAUGCAGCGACGCCGCGUGGGUGAAGGAGUGCUUCGGCAUGUAAAGCCCUAUCGGCAGGGAAGAAGCAAGACGGUACCUGACUAAGAAGCCCCGGCUAACUACGUGCCAGCAGCCGCGGUAAUACGUAGGGGGCGAGCGUUAUCCGGAUUCACUGGGUGUAAAGGGAGCGUAGACGGCCAUGCAAGCCAGGGGUGAAAGCCCGGGGCCCAACCCCGGGACUGCCCUUGGAACUGGGGGGCUAGAGUGCGGGAGGGGCAGGCGGAAUUCCUGGUGUAGCGGUGAAAUGCGUAGAGAUCGGGAGGAACACCGGCGGCGAAGGCGGCCUGCUGGGCCGUGACUGACGUUGAGGCUCGAAAGCGUGGGGAGCGAACAGGAUUAGAUACCCUAGUAGUC
rnacentral:rRNA from 1 species